AUAGAAUCCUUUAGCCAUCACAUUCCAACAGGAAAUGUGUUUUGCCCCUAAGGAGCAGGAGGCAAUUUCUGAUCUCUAGAAAGGUCUUCAGGCUAGCUAUUAACAUCAGAAAGAGCCACGUCAGGGGUCUAACAGGUGCACAUUUCAGGCUGACAGGUUAAGAGUCAACCUGAAGUUCUGGUUAAUGACUAAUUAAGUUGCGGGUAGUUCUUAGCUAGAAAUCAACUGGAGUUCUCAUGAGCUGAAAAUAGGGAGAAUAAUAUCUUUUUAGCUUUUAAAAUGCACCGUGCUUCCUCAGGGCAAGAGGAAGGUGGUUGUCGUGGUCUUGCCUGUUUGACAGUAGAUGCAGGAAGACCUCUACUUCCAAGGAAUUAUUUGUGCCAGACUGCUAGCCAGAGAGGCCAGGGCAUCUCUAGAAUGAAGGAGUAACGCCUUUUUGAACACUGCAAUGUUUUUCUCAGGCAGGUGGUUUGGAAGAACAAAAUAUAUAAUGUCAUGUCUUCAUUUUAGUUCUCCUGCCUUAAACACAUACAUGCACACAGAUGCAUGAGAGUUGAACCUUUUACUUCAGAUUUUCCAUAAUAAGUUUGAUCUGGGCCUUUGCUGACUGCUGUGUUUGGAGAAAGAAGAUCAUGUUUAUUUAAAAAACAGAAGCAUUAAUUUCAAUCUUUGUGGCCUCAGUAUUGAGGAGGGGACUGACCUGGAGAGAGAAUAGACUUUUUCUUCAUGGCUAGGUGUUCCUGCUGGGCACAGGAUGGCUCAGAUCAGAUUUAGGGAACACUUUGAUCUGAAACUUUCUUCCUUGCUUUUCUCAAGCAGAUACAAACUUUUUGUUCCCAGAGGUUAAUGCCUGUGUGAUGAUUAUAUUUGCUCCGGAAUCAUCUAACUUACCCUCUUACCUUUCAAAAUUCUGCAUGAAACAGCCAGGGUCCACACAAAUGAGCUAAAGUGGGGCCUCUGGUCUUCUCUCUGUCACCUCCUUAUGUUCCCUGGCAUGUGUGUUGUGGUGUGAGAGGGAGUUGUCUCUAUGAGUUUUAAUUUUCCGGGUUUUAUUUGUUUGUUUGUUUGUUUACUAGCAGUCUGGUUUCAAAAAAACUUUCAGAACUUCUUGUCAGACCCCAUAUACAUUUAAAAGAAAUUGGCCUCUCCUCUUCCUAUCUGCUAAUCAUUUUUCACAUCGUUUUUUCAUUUACAGCAUUUGGGAAGGAAAGUUCACUUAAAAAAUCUUUAGACCACCUGUUAGAGAAAUACAAACAGAAUGCUUGUUUUCUGGGAUAAAGGGGGGAAAACCUCCAUUUCAUAUUUUUUAAUGUGUGUGGUAUGGUGGAAAAGACAUGAACUUUGGAACCGGUCUGGCCUUGGGACCAAAUCGAACUCCACCACUUAAUAACUAUGUACACCUAGAUGAGUCACUUGGAUUUUCUUAGUGCCGGUUUCCUCAUUGUGUGGUGGAGGUAGUGAUACUAAUCGUGUAGAAUCCUUUCGAGAAAUAGAGAAAAUAUGUUUUAAUCACCUGCUAUACCAUAAAUCAGUGUUCCCCAACCUUUUGGUACCAGGGACUGGUUUCAUGGAAGACAGUUUUUCCACUGAUGGGCAGGGAGUGGUGUGGGGGGCAGAAGGGGAAGGGCAUUAGAUUCUCAUAAGAAGCCCCCAACCUAGAUCCCUCACGUGUGCAGUUUACAAUAGGGUUCCCGCUCCUAUGAGAAUCUAAUGCUGCUGCUGGUCUGACAGGAGGUGGAGCUCAGGCAAUAAUGCUUGCCCACCCACCAAUCACCUCCUGCUGUGCAGCCAGGUUCCUAACAGGCCACAGACCAGUACUGUGGUCCCCUGGGGAUUGGGGGCCCCUGCUGUAAAUGGUGCCUAUUAUUUCUAACAUCCCGUUUUCAGUGGAUUUUAUCUUUUGCUUUAGAGAUGCCAAGCACCCAUCAGCCUUUGACUGAAAAAUUCCCCAAAUUUAGCUCCUGCCUCACUCUCCUUGCAGUUCCUACAAUCCUUUCUGCCCCCCAGUUUUCCUACCUGCCCAGCACAACCUCUCCAAAAAGGAUCUGAGAUUCACCUAUGUUGAACUUAUAAUGGCCCUCGCAGAGGCUUUCUGUUUCAACAGGGUUGAAAGCCUGGCACUAAGGAGUAAAGCAAACACAGAGGGGCUGGAAGCAAGAGGGAUCACUUUAUUUUUUAGAAUACCAGGACUUUAGCGUCUCUGAAUUCCCAGCUCUCAGGAGCUAAGUCAGCCUUACUCACUUAUACACAGGCCCUGGUUUCCAUGUGAUAGUGAUUCUAAUAUAAGCUGACCUAUCAUAGCAUUGAUCCUUCCUCUGCUUCUCUCCAUAGGCAGGAGUGUGUAACACCAAGUACAGUAGUCACAAUACCUACCUCCUUUCCCCCCCCGAUUUGGUUGAGCAGUGAACAAGUCUCAGAGUUAAAAACAUUUUUCCUUGCAAUGUUUACCCUGACUUUCUCCUGCUUUACCUAUUACCUCUUGAAUGAAGUAUCUACUGCUAUAUAACAAGUUAUCUCAAAUUCAGCAGCUGAAGAUAGUAAUCAAGAUUUAUUGUGUCAUUCAUUUUCCGUGAGUCGGUUUCUGUAACCCCAUAGCCUUUAGGGCUGCAAUGCCUAUGGCACUAAAAGUCUUGUUAUUUGUUUGAGGGGGGAAUGUCCCAUUUCACUUGGCACAUUUCACACCCUUUCCAUGUUCACCAAGUAGCACCUGGGGACAGGCAGAGACCCCAUUUAGACUUUCAGUUCAGGAGCAGCUUUAGCUGAGGAGCCAGGCUUGUUAGCAUUUCAGAGGUGUAGCAGCCUGCCUUGGCCAGGGCAGUGCUACUCCAUUGCCAGGAUUCUUUUUUUUUUUUCUUUGAGACGGAGUUUCACUUUUGUUGUCCGGGCUGGAGUGCAAUGGUGUGAUCUUGGCUCACUGCAACCUCUGCCUCCCGGGUUCAAGCGAUUCUCCUGCCUGAGCUUCCUGAGUAGCUGGGAUUACAGGCAUGUGCCGCGAAGCCCAGCUAAUUUUGUAUUUUUAGUAGAGACGGGGUUUCUCCAUGUUGGUCAGGCUGGUCUCGAAAUCCCGACCUCAGGUGAUCCACCUGCCUCGGCCUGGCAAAGUGCUGGGAUUACAGGCGUGAACCACCGCGCCCGGCUGCCAGGGAUUCUUAAGACUGUGGUAGACCUCAACCCCAGCCUCGCCUUUGCUACCUGUUCCCAGGUACUGCUUAAACCAAAACCUACUGAAAAGGCAAGUGGGUGACUAGCGUAUGCAGGGCUUAGAUUUUUGGAUUAGGAAAGUGACACUUUCUUUAAGUAAAGACACAACUCUUGGGCUUUCCUGAGGUCAGCAAGGUGUAGGAUGGAAGGUGAAUUUUAGGAAAGAAGUUGGGUAAUGUAGAACCAUUCCUACUUUCCCCCCAGGGCCCUAAAGAAUGUAUACCUAUAAGAAAUCUGGCUGAGAUUUAAGGCAGGGCCUGUGGCCAGUAAUAUUUACCUUCUAGACAAAGAUAACUCACUCAUUUGAGGAAUUUGGUCGCUACUUUUACUUCAUUAGCACCAAGGACUGAGCUAACUGGAUCUCCCUUAAGCAUCUGUGGCCUCAGAAUUUUUUCUCAGGUUCAUUAAACUGAAAACGCCCACCACCCCCCUUCCUUUUUUGUUCCCCUCUUGGCAGUUUUCAUUUUCUCCAAAUGGAAGUUUAUAGAUAUGCAGCUCAGCAUUUAGCUGAUGUUUCUCUUGGUUGCAGAGCUAUUAGAAAUAGACUUUUUUCCUCACACAGUGACUAUUCUUUUCCCAACAUUCUCAUAUCACUAUAGAAGACAGCUCCGGGGGAGAGAGGAGUUGCCAAGCCUUAAGGCCCGAAUAACUGGGAAUCUGGCAAAUUUCCUGGACUAUGAUGUCCCCUGGCCUGGGAGAAGUGCCAGCAGCGGGGGUGUCAGGGAGAGGCACUGUGCUGUGUGCAUGUGCGUGUCAGAGCUCCUGAGCCCUGAAGGAGCAUGAGUUCGAUUCUGGGAUGCUUUCAGUUAUUAAAAGCAUUAUUGCUUUUGACCUUCUCAUCCCUCUCUCCAUGUGCAGAGUUUUGGUCAGUCUCAGUGGAACAUAAAAACUGGUAAGAAAAAGUUUAAUUGAAGCAGGUUUUUGAAGCCAAAGGAAAAGAUAUAAGUUCCACAAGAGCUGUGGCCAUUAUAGCUGUUUCUGUGGAAAGACUUGGGGCUUGUUCACCUAUAUGAAGCUUCCUAAGGGACGUCUAUCUCCCAGUGCCCUGCCGUGGGGACUAGAUGGGCCUGGGUCGAUAGAAGGGAGGAUGGAAGGAAGGCAAGCUCGUUUCCUGAUCAGUAGGAACCAAAAAACCAGGGAGAGUAGAUUGUGUUAUGUAAAAUGAGUCCCUCUGCUUUCUGGGAACAUGUGGGGUUCAUUUAGGUAAUUACCAGCUCAGACUGGGUGGCAUAAUAAUCAUCUUUACUUGUUUUUAUUUAUUUAUUUUUUUAGACCGAGUCUUGCUCUAUUGCCCAACAUGGAGUGUGGUGGCGUGAUCUCGGCUCACUGCAACCUCUGCCUCCCUGGUUCAAGCAACUCUCCUGCCUCAGCCUCCCGAGUAGCUGGGAUUACAGUGAACACUAGCUGCAGUUUUGUUUUCAUACCUGGACAGAGCAUAAAUCCUGCCAUGAACACAGCAAAGAUCAUUCAGAAAGUGAAGAGGAAGGAGAAACAACGGUUCAUGUUAAACUUGAGAUGCUAAUCUUGAAAUGCCACCCGUUCUCUUCUGAUUAGAUUACAUGCAGAAUAAAACAUGCAGGCAAUCUCAAACCUCUCCUCUCAGACGUUUCUGAUUCUUAUUGUGUGCCUCUCUGGGAAGAUACAGAUAGCAUCGAAUAAUCUCUCUGAGGGAAUUAGUUGCUGUUUCCUCUUUCCUGUUUUGAACAAAUUUUCUUUAAUGCAUUGUGUGAGUACACAUGUAGAACAUAUUCUUUGACAUCACAUAAAUAUUUACACAAUAUUUAAAACUCACUGUCAUGAAGUAUUUAUUUCACUUGCAAACAUUAUCAUCUAUUGUUCUAUGGAAAAUUACAAAAUAAAAGGCACGGCUGCUUUGAUUUUUAGUACCUGGUUUUGUUUGUUUUGUUUUCUUUCCAUUGACCUUGCAUAUUUACCAGUGAAUUUAUAAAGUCAAAACAGAGCAUUAUUGAAAGGGAAAAUUAAGUAGACUCCCCAGAGAUUGAGAGGUAAAGUUUGCACCCUAGCUUCUGUGAGGAGCACCUCCCAGUCAUAAUCACUGUACUCUGGACUAUCAUGGCAAUUUCUUGCUUUGUUAGCAGAGACCUGUCUAUUAAGGACCAAAUCCAGAAUAUCUGAGAACAAAAUUGAGGGAGUAGCCAUGGGUUAUCCCUUUGUGCCUAGAACAUUGCCUGGAAUCCAGUGUCCACAUGAUAAACAUUUUUAGGAUGAAUAGCUUAUUAUAUACCCUUGCAGAAAUUUUCCAUCCACAGUCUUGCUUAUAUGCGUUUGAGUGUAUUCUUUUUUUCUCAUUUUAUACAAAUAAAUACACACUAUCGACA